CCCCGCUGGGUCUGGCUCUCGGUGGUGCGCUCCCUUAAAAAGUCACACUAGGUCCCUGAGGUAUUAAUCACCUGGACAGUGAAUGACAUUUCUUUCAGGGGAGUGGGUUUGGAAGCAGUGGGACCUGGGUGUGGCUGAAGAGCUCCGACCCACACUGCCCCCUGGGCCACCUGCCCUGCCUGACGUUCAACCCUCAGUGCAGACUCGGGGACAGCAGAGCCCCAGCAGCGGGGACAACAUAGCUGCCUGAGAGCACCUCCUGAGCCCCUGCGAGGUCCUGCCAGGCCGCUCUGGGGUAGAGAGCGGAGAUCCAGCGGAUCCCUUUGCUCACUGAGUCCUGACACCUGGCAGUGCCUGGGGGAGUCGCCGGGUCUCGUGGGGAGGAAGACGGGUUUGAAAACCCCGUUUUGAAGGCUUGCUGGGACCGCCUUAGAGGGCUGCCGUGAGAAAUCCCAGAGUCCAUUGCAACGCACACGGAGUGUAACUUCCAGGAAGCAGAACAAAGAGGGGGCAUGACCUUCCCUUUCCCCUCCCACUGCCUCUGGCUGAGACCGAGCUGUGAAGGCUGGAGCAGGAGCAGCCACGCUAGACCGUGACGUGGCUCCAGGCAUGGAGGCUUCACAGCGCCAGCAGCCGGUGAGAAGCCCGGGUCUCUGAGGCCCGCGGGCACCGUCCUCAUCCAUGGAUCUGGCGUUUUUACAUGGGAAAUGAACUUCCAUUUGCUUAAGACAGUGCAUAAAAGCACUUUGGGGACUACGAAGAGCCCUACAAACGUGAGACAAUGACCCCAGACCUGAUUUCCGGGGUGAAGGGCAAGUUCGUCACCCUCUGAUGCCUGUUUUUCACCUCUUAAGAAGGGUCCAGUUUUAGCGACUGUCCAAUAUCCCUUCUCACGGAAUUUGGGUCUCCCAGGUCCUGUCUUGGUGUCGAGAUCCCGUGGGGGUGUCUGAGCCCUGACACCCCUGCCUUCCAGGAGGGGAGUGGAUUUUGUGCCUGGCUGGGGUGGACUCAUUUUAGUUGAGGUGAGGAUGUUGGGUUUCUGGAAACAUCUCUCUGGAAACUUUAAAAAGCCAUGGUCAUUAAAUG